CAAUAGCGUAUAUUAAAGUUGUUGCAGUUAGAACGCUCGUAGUCGGAUUUCGGGGCGGGCCGACCGGUCUGCCGAUGGGUACGCACUGGUCGGCGCGUCCUUCCUUCCGGAGACCGUGCCUACUCUUAACUGAGCGGGGGCGGGAGACGGAUCGUUUACUUUGAAAAAAUCAGAGUGUUUCAAGCAGGCAGCUCGCUCUUGCAUGGAUUAGCAUGGGAUAAUGAAAUAGGACUUUGGUGCUAUUUUGUUGGUUUCGAACACCGAAGUAAUGAUUAACAGGGACAGUCAGGGGCACUCGCAUUCCGCCGAGAGAGGUGAAAUUCUCAGACCAGCGGAAGACGAACUACUGCGAAAGCAUUUGCCAGGGAUGUUUUCACUGA
rnacentral:rRNA from 1 species